AAGACUAUAGACCUGCGGAGUACCUGCGGAGGGAUCAUUCACAAUAAGUGUUUUAUGGCACUUUAAUUCCAUAUCCACCUUGUGUGCAACGUAGUUCGUUUUUCGAACAAAACAUCAACAUUUUAAUUAUCAACAGAUCGUCUGAAGUAUUAUAUGAAUAAAUCAAUUCAAAAUACAACUUUUAGCAAUGGAUCUCU
rnacentral:misc_RNA from 1 species